rnacentral:rRNA from 1 species
UGGGGAAUUUUGGACAAUGGACGCAAGUCUGAUCCAGCCAUGCCGCGUGCGGGAAGAAGGCCUUCGGGUUGUAAACCGCUUUUGUCAGGGAAGAAACGAGUUUCUCUAAUACAGAGACUUAAUGACGGUACCUGAAGAAUAAGCACCGGCUAACUACGUGCCAGCAGCCGCGGUAAUACGUAGGGUGCGAGCGUUAAUCGGAAUUACUGGGCGUAAAGCGUGCGCAGGCGGUGAUGUAAGACAGAUGUGAAAUCCCCGGGCUCAACCUGGGAACUGCGUUUGUGACUGCAUAGCUAGAGUACGGUAGAGGGGGAUGGAAUUCCGCGUGUAGCAGUGAAAUGCGUAGAUAUGCGGAGGAACACCGAUGGCGAAGGCAAUCCCCUGGACCUGUACUGACGCUCAUGCACGAAAGCGUGGGGAGCAAACA